rnacentral:rRNA from 1 species
UGUCCAGACUCCUACGGGAGGCAGCAGUGGGGAAUAUUGCACAAUGGGCGCAAGCCUGAUGCAGCCAUGCCGCGUGUAUGAAGAAGGCCUUCGGGUUGUAAAGUACUUUCAGCGGGGAGGAAGGCGAUAAGGUUAAUAACCUUGUUGAUUGACGUUACCCGCAGAAGAAGCACCGGCUAACUCCGUGCCAGCAGCCGCGGUAAUACGGAGGGUGCAAGCGUUAAUCGGAAUUACUGGGCGUAAAGCGCACGCAGGCGGCCUGUCAAGUCGGAUGUGAAAUCCCCGGGCUUAACCUGGGAAAUACAUUCGAAACUGGCAGGCUGGAGUCUUGUAGAGGGGGGUAGAAUGCCAGGUGUAGCGGUGAAAUGCGUAGAGAUCUGGAGGAAUGCCGGUGGCGAAGGCGGCCCCCUGGACAAAGACUGACGCUCAGGUGCGAAAGCGUGGGGAGCAAACAGGAUUAGAGACCCUCGUAUAA